rnacentral:rRNA from 1 species
UCCCAGUUCGGAUUGUAGUCUGCAACCCGACUACAUGAAGCUGGAAUCGCUAGUAAUCGCGGAUCAGAAUGCCGCGGUGAAUACGUUCCCGGGUCUUGUACACACCGCCCGUCACACCAUGGGAGUCGGAAAUGCCCGAAGUCUGUGACCCAACCUUAGGGAGGGAGCAGCCGAAGGCAGGUCGGAUGACUGGGGUGAAGUCGUAACAAGGUACC